rnacentral:rRNA from 1 species
AUUGAACGCUGGCGGCAUGCUUUACACAUGCAAGUCGAACGGCAGCGCGGGGGCAACCCUGGCGGCGAGUGGCGAACGGGUGAGUAAUACAUCGGAACGUACCCAGAAGUGGGGGAUAACGUAGCGAAAGUUACGCUAAUACCGCAUACGUUCUACGGAAGAAAGUGGGGGACCUUCGGGCCUCAUGCUUUUGGAGCGGCCGAUGUCUGAUUAGCUAGUUGGUGAGGUAAAGGCUCACCAAGGCGACGAUCAGUAGCUGGUCUGAGAGGACGACCAGCCACACUGGAACUGAGACACGGUCCAGACUCCUACGGGAGGCAGCAGUGGGGAAUUUUGGACAAUGGGGGCAACCCUGAUCCAGCAAUGCCGCGUGAGUGAAGAAGGCCUUCGGGUU